GGCAGCAGUAGGGAAUCUUCCACAAUGGACGAAAGUCUGAUGGAGCAAUGCCGCGUGAGUGAAGAAGGUUUUCGGAUCGUAAAACUCUGUUGUUGAAGAAGAACAUAUGUGAGAGUAACUGUUCACGUACUGACGGUAUUCAACCAGAAAGCCACGGCUAACUACGUGCCAGCAGCCGCGGUAAUACGUAGGUGGCAAGCGUUGUCCGGAUUUAUUGGGCGUAAAGAGAAUGUAGGCGGUUUAUUAAGUUUGAAGUGAAAGCCCUCGGCUCAACCGAGGAAGUGCUUCGAAAACUGGUAAACUUGAGUGCAGAAGAGGAAAGUGGAACUCCAUGUGUAGCGGUGGAAUGCGUAGAUAUAUGGAAGAACACCAGUGGCGAAGGCGGCUUUCUGGUCUGUAACUGACGCUGAGAUUCGAAAGCAUGGGUAGCAAACAGGAUUAGAUACCCUGGUAGUCCAUGCCGUAAACGAUGAGUGCUAAGUGUUGGAGGGUUUCCGCCCUUCAGUGCUGCAGCUAACGCAUAAGC
rnacentral:rRNA from 1 species